UGAGGAAUAUUGCACAAUGGGCGCAAGCCUGAUGCAGCAACGCCGCGUGCGGGACGAAGGCCUUCGGGUCGUAAACCGCUUUUCUGGGGGAAGAGCAAGGACGGUACCUCAGGAAUAAGUCUCGGCUAACUACGUGCCAGCAGCCGCGGUAAAACGUAGGAGGCAAGCGUUGUCCGGAUUUACUGGGCGUAAAGGGAGCGUAGGCGGACUUUUAAGUGAGAUGUGAAAUACCCGGGCUCAACCUGGGUGCUGCAUUUCAAACUGGAAGUCUAGAGUGCAGGAGAGGAGAGUGGAAUUCCUAGUGUAGCGGUGAAAUGCGUAGAGAUUAGGAAGAACACCAGUGGCGAAGGCGACUCUCUGGACUGUAACUGACGCUGAGGCUCGAAAGCGUGGGGAGCAAACA
rnacentral:rRNA from 1 species